ensembl:lncRNA
UCCAUCUCACUUUACCUUCUAGAUCAACUUCUCUACCAGAUGCUGUCUGUUCAGUAUAUAUCCGCACUGUGUUUUCUUCUCUUAAGCUUUUUGUCUCUGUUAAAUGGAAAAAGGAAAAUACAUUCUUUUAAAAAGUGAAAUUGAGCUACAGGGCCAUACAAAACCAAGUGCUGAUGUUAAGAGGCUUCAUGAAACAAAUUUGAUUGCUUUCUUGAAAAUAUGUUUGUUGUAUUUUUCAUGUGUUAGCAUUUCACUGAGAGAUCAAAAUGCAAUGUAUAACUUCCAUUUUCUGUUCUUCCUGUAAUUCAACUGAAAUUAACUGUAAAAGAAUCAUUACAAAAUUAAAUUAAUUGUGUUAUAUAAUGUCAAUCUAUUGUUUUUUCUUUGUUUUAUUUUCAUACUAUAUUGAUAAUAUGAUUCAUCAUUAAAUACAGUUUGUGUUUCCGGUUUCACUUAGCCUUCUUGAUGAACUUCCUCACCAGUCUGUUCAGUAGAUAUCUGCCCUGGACCUAAAACAUCAGUUAAGUAUAGAUAUACUGCAAUUUUCUGUAAUACAUAUUACAUUUUAAUUACGUUUGAUUUUCAAAGUAAAGAUUUCAAAAUGCCUUAUUGUUAUUAUUUGAUAUAUGUAUCACACACAUUAGGUUAAUAACAAUACAUCUAUCUGAUAAUCUUGUAAGGAUAAGAAUAUGUUUUCCAUUUACUAUAUUACCCUCAAGAUCAACUUUACUGUCAGGUGUCAUCUGAAUGACAGGUGUCUUCACAGUGUCUUCUGGUCCUAAAAGAUGGCAAUAAUGUCAUUAUUUAGCAAUUUGACUGUCAGGAAUAUAUGUUUAUUUUACUGAAAAAUUAUAAUCAAAUGAAAGCUUUAUAUGUAAUUAUAUUCAACAUUGCUAUGCUGUGCAUGUAUUAAACAUUAGUUUAAAUACUGUAAUUUACCUGUAAAUUAUAAUCUUUCAAAUAAAAUUACAAACCCGUUUGCAAAAAAGUUGUGACGCUGCAAAAAAUGCAAAUAGAAAUAGAAUGCCUAAAUGUGGAAUUCAUUGCAUCCUUAUAUUUCAUUGAAAAUAGUACAAAGAAAGAAAGAAAAGUUCUUGUUUUUGAAAAAAGAUAUGCCCAUUUUGAAUAUGCCAGCAACAUAUU